UAGGGUUCGACUCCCGGAGAGGGGAGCCUGAGAAACGGCUACCACAUCCAAGGAAGGCAGCAGGCGCGAAAAUUACCCACUCUCAGUGCGAGGAGGUAGUGACGAAAAAUAACAAGGCUGAUCGCUUUGCGAGCAGCUACUGGAAUGGGUACAAUAUAAACCCUUUAACGAGGACCUAUGAGAGGGCAAGUCUGGUGCCAGCACCCGCGGUAAUUCCAGCUCUCAAAAUGUACUUAACCAUUGUUGCGGUUAAAAAGCUCGUAGUUGGAUCUCUGCAACGCGAAGUGGUUCGUUCAUUGAACGAUUACUUCUUCGCGUUGCUCUCUUUUGUCGGUUUUUGGCAGUGUUCCUCACGGAGUGCUGUCGUGACUGACGAGUUUACUUUGAAUUAAUUAGAGUGCUUAAAACAGGCGUUUCGCUUGAAUAGUCUAGCAUGGAAUAAUGGAAUAGGACUUCGGUUCGAUUUUAUUGGUUUUAUGGAUCGAAGUAAUGAUUAGUAGGAAUAAACGGGGGCAUUCGUAUUGUUACGUUAGAGGUGAAAUUCUGGGA
rnacentral:rRNA from 1 species